CAGUUUUGACUACGAUAGUGGUUCUGCAACUAAUUAGUGGCAUUGGAGGAUAAAUAAAAUCAAUCAAUCAGGGGUAGGUAAAUCAAUCCAUCCACUGAAAGGAAUGAAUUUGCAUCACAGACUGACCUGACGAGAAGUAAAGCACAAACAAAGUAAUGUUUGUGUAGAGAGAGCAGAGGAGAGGAACCAUUCACACCAAGCUUGUGCGCCAUCUCGGGUCUGAGGUGCGGCUAGGGUUGGGCGCUGGUGUUGUUGCUGUCUCUGCGUGCGUGAGCAAGGGAAAGGAGGCAUCAGGGAAAGAAAUAAGAAGGAAAAAAUGUAGGAGGGGGAGGAGGACGGGUACCUUGUGCUUGAGGAGUAGCAACGUCGGAGCAGGUCUGCACGGCGUGCACGAUAGAGCAGAUGCUUGACAACGGCGGCAGAACCGAACCAGCGGCGGCGGUGGUGGAUGUUGGGC
rnacentral:lncRNA from 1 species